GCAGCCGCGGUAAUUCCAGCUCCAAUAGCGUAUAUUAAAGUUGUUGCAGUUAAAAAGCUCGUAGUUGAAUUUCGGGAUCAAUACGUCGGUCGUGCUUUUUUGGUACGCACUGGCGUCAUUGGUUUCUCCUUUCUGACGAACUAUGAUGUCAUUAAUUUGGUGUUAUGGGGAGUUAGGACUGUUACUUUGAAAAAAUUAGAGUGUUUAAAGCAGGCAUUAGCUUGAAUACAUUAGCAUGGAAUAAUGAAAUAGGACGUUCGAUCCUAUUUUGUUGGUUUCUAGGAUCAACGUAAUGAUUAAUAGGGAUAGUUGGG
rnacentral:rRNA from 1 species